CCAUCACUUGCCAUUAAAUAAGAAAGCUACAUAAGCGUCAUUACAAAUAAAGCUACAUAAGAAUUAUAUACGAUUCUAAGAUAAAGUCGUGACAUGUAAAUGUGCAUCUUCCAUUGAAAAACUUAAAAAACUGCAAAGAAUUAUAUACUGUUCUAACAGCAAAAGGUUAACAUCCUUGUUCACAAAACAAAAACUACAAUAUACUUUAAAUCCCAUAUCCACAUUGAUGUUUACACAAUCAGUCCAUGCGUUGAUGUUUACAAAAUCAGUCCAUGCGAUCAUUUUCUUCAUUUUGUCUUCCGCCUGUGCAUGGAUCUUCCAACCAUCAGGGUAGGCAUGAACUGCAUGGGUUGUUCUUCAACUGGGUUUUGGGUCGAAGCAGGUCCCUUACCUCUGGAUGAGACCAGUUUACCCUGGAAUACAAACUAAAUGCAUUAGACCAUUAUAGCUAACAUUAUAAAAAAUAAAAAAAUAAGCAAAGGUAAUGUAUAACUGGGCAUCCACUACAGUCUCUCAGUAAACAUAUCAUUGAUCAGUCAUGGAAAAGAAUAUCUGCUACAUCUAAAUGUUAAAAAUAAUAUUUCCACUUGGUUAAAUGUUAAUGGCAAGAUGUAAGAAUGAAAACCCAGAAAAUAAUAAAGUCACUUCAUUUUCAACUUCCAAUUUCAAUAAAUUCAAUAGAGUUGAAAAUGAAAGAUAAUCUCAGAAUUAUUUUUCAGUUGAAAAUGGCAGGAUCCAGUAUAAUAUUUGCUGCAGUAACUGAAUUAUUUUUCAGGCAUUGUAUAAUCUGGGAAUAACCAUUUACUACAGAACACCAUAUACACCAAGACACAACACCAAAACAUAUAUAAUAUGCUAAAAGUGUACCCAAACAGGGGCAGGAAAAAGAACUAGUUACCAAAGGUAUGUUUCAAAUUCAAUCCAAACAUGUUUUUGUAUAAAAAAAACAUUUACACUCAAUCAAGAUAGCAGUAUAAGCUUAAAGAGCAUGUUUGGAUACCAACAAUACAGAAUGAUUAUCAGUAGUAGCUCCCUUAGAGAUCAAAAUUCUCUGAAUAUAAUUCAAUAACAUUACAAAAAAGGGGGCCGGCUGUUCAAUGUAUUUCAUAUUGUUGUAUUUCAUAUGCUAGCAAUAGAUUGCCAAUCAACUUCAACUUCCAACAUAAAAAAUUGUUCAUUCUCAAACCAGGCAAUAAAUUCACAUUCAGACCAUUACAUGGAAGUUCAGGAUGUUAAUUCUUCACCUCUUUCGCAUUUUGAAAACUUUCACCUGCCAGUAUGUGGGUUCGUGUGCACAAUCAGUAUGUAGUUGCGAGGAAGACGAGGAUGACGAGACGACCUACGUCUAAUGUAACUGUGAAGGCGAUGAAGAUCUGCCAAUUUCACCAAGUGUGGAAGAAUCGAUUUGGGGGAGGAUUUUGAAGGAAAUCAAUCUAGGGCUGUGUGUUCAAAUUAGGGAUGAGAGACUUAUGGAUUGGGAAAUGGUGAAGAGGAUCUUGUUUUGGCUGUCAAAUCGCAUCCACCAUGGCCGAGCUUGACGCCGUCGACAACCACGUCGCCUGCCGUCAAGCCACAUGAGACGGGUUCAAACGGCUGGGGCAAUGGGUAAUGGAUAGAGUGGUGUGUUUGUAAGUUCAGUGACCGUUGAGCAGCAAAUGAAAGUUCAG
rnacentral:lncRNA from 1 species